CGGAUUGAUGCGCUGGUGGCUUGUUGGCGAUAUAUAUGUCGAUUUUUCUUUCUUGACGAUUACGCUUAUGCCUGGACUUACUGCUUCACGCAAAUCAAUCUAUCGUUCAAGAGGUGGCGGUCAGAGCUGAAGAAAAAAUAUUUUACUCAAAGAACAGAAGAUUGGGAGCGUUACUGGCAUCUUGACGAGCGCGCCGAUGGAGUUGAUUUUUUUGCACUUUGCGAUUAUUGGGACACGGCCGAAGCUCAGGAACAAGCUGAAAUAGCAAGGAGGAAC